rnacentral:rRNA from 1 species
GUAUAGCAAUAGCUAGUUGCAUCAUAGUAGAUAUGAUGCAAGAUCGACUAUGUUGAAUAAAAUUCUAGGUAGAAUUAUGAUAAUGACAUUGUCUGCCUAUGUGUCUUGACCAAAUUACGUGCCAGCAGUCGCGGUAAUACGUAGAAGACUAGUGUUAUUCAUGUUUAAUCGGUUUAAAGGGUACCUAGACGGUAGAUCAAGCUUUCUAAUAAAGGAAAAGGACUAAUUUACUAGAGUUACUUAUGAGGGGGUAUUAAAGUACUGCUGGUGUAGAGAUGAAAUUCUGUCAUACCUCUUUUCAAAAGAAAAACCAUGGCACAGGUAUAGGCGAAGGCAUCCCCUUAUGUGAUAACUGACGUUGAGGGACGAAGGCUUUGUGUAGCGAACAGGAUUAGAUACCCCAGUAGUCGAAGCAGAAAAUGAUGAAUGUCAUAGAUUAGAUAUAUAAGUUUAUUCUAUAAAUGAAAGUGUAAGCAUUCCACCUCAUGAGUAAUUUGGCAACAUUGGAACUGAAAUCAUUAGACCGUUUCUGAAACCAGUAGUGAAGUAUGUUGUUUAAUUUGAUGCUCCGCAAAAAACCUUACCACAAUUUGAAUAUUUAUAUUGUUUAUUGUUUUAUUAUUAAUUUUCUUGAACGUAAAAGAAAAGAGAGAUGUAGGAUAAUAGUAAGAAAAUUAAGAAACAAGCAAUAAGAUAUAAUUACAAGCGUUGCACGGCUGUCUUCAGUUAAUGUCGCGAGACUUUGGUUAGUUCCAUUAAAUUAACGUAAACCCUUACUUUAUUUUUAUAUAGAGUAGUUCCCCGCUAUAUUGGAUAUGAUAACAGG